UACGGAGGGGGCUAGCGUUGUUCGGAAUUACUGGGCGUAAAGCGCGCGUAGGCGGACCUGCAAGUCGGGGGUGAAAGCCCGAGGCUCAACCUCGGAACUGCCUUCGAUACUGCGGGUCUCGAGUCCGGGAGAGGUGAGUGGAAUUCCCAGUGUAGCGGUGAAAUGCGUUGAUAUCCACAGGAACUCCGGUGGCGAAAGCGGCGCGCUGGACCUCUUCUGACGCUGAGGCGCGAAAGCUAGGGGAGCAAACGGG
rnacentral:rRNA from 1 species